rnacentral:lncRNA from 1 species
GCUGUGCAGAGUAUUUGGCUGAAGAAUAUGAAAAAGGAGUCUCCCAGCCAGGAGUUUUACAGUUUGACUACAUCCUAGAAGCACCUUGGUAUUUAAUAAAAAUACCAAAGCCUGAACUUAGAUCCCAAGUUUCUGAUUUCCUGAGUCUUUGGAGGACUCCAGGCAUCAGUGUUUUCCACAGUUCCUCACGAUGCAGAACUGCUGGUCAAGAGCUGUGCUCUCCCACAUAAGGCUAGGGAGCCCUUUCAAGGAGGCUCAUCCAUGGUGUGAUGUAACAUGAGCAAAAUAAUUGAAAAUAUCUCGGGGAUGGUUUUUUAUAUGGAUUCUGUGUGGAAAUGAUAACAGUUUGGAUAUGUUGUGUUCAAUAACGUAUGUUAUUAAAAUUAGUUUAAUUACCUGUUUCUUUUUACUUCUAAUAAUUGUGUCUACUAGAAAACUGAAAAUACAUAUGAAGCUCAUAUUAUAAUUUGUUGAAUGGUGCUGGUCUAGAAGAUGAUAAAGAGACAUUUACAGCUUUCUUCCAUGUCUAUACAAUCUCUUUCUCUGUUUCAGACACACAAGAAUCCAAAUUAAUGUGAAGGGGGUGGUCCAGAUAGAUCGUACCCUGGGCAGUAUGUAUGGCAAACCUAGAAAGAAUCUUUGUCCUUGAAUCAUACUGCCUGAGUCCUAACCCCAGCUGCAACAAUUUUCGUUGGAUGCCCUUGGGCAAGUUAACUCUCUGUGCCUCUAUUUCUCCAUCAGCAAGAUGGGGAGAAGAGGCUGUUUGAGGUUCCAUUGAGAUAAUGUUAGCUAUUCUUCUUCUUCCUUCUCUGGAUCUCUUCUCUUGAGAUUUUGUUCAGUGACCGUCUGUCACUGAACACAAACCUAACUUAGUCACUUACAAAACACAUAAUUGCUCCCACCUAGGGCAAUCCACGAGCCUCAAUUUCAUGUUUCAUUGUCAUAACUCAUAAAAUGCAGCCCCUUCCCCUUCUGACUAUCUUUUUGUUAACUUCCAGGGAAAAGAGAAGCCAGAUGAAGACAGGAUGGACCACUACCUCUGGUGAAGCAGAGAUGACAUCUUUGAUUACCCAGAGUCUGUCUCUGUUGUUUGCAACUGGGUGGCAGAGCCUGGAUAUUGGAAACCUGGGUGCUUAAAUCAGAUGAACUUCUAUUCUCAACCCAAUUCUUCUAUUUACUAAGUAUGCGACUAUUUACUAAGUAUGUGACAUUGGACAAGCUGCUUAAUCUUGCUAAGUAUGUUUUCUUACCUAUGAAAUGGGGAUAAUGGGGGUACUGAGAAAAGAGCCCCUGGAUGUGAUUUGUUUAGUAGAGUGCUUUUCUUAUCAAUUCCUUAAUAAAUAUUAGCUGCCUAGGCA